rnacentral:sRNA from 1 species
AGCAGCCGCGGUAAUUCCAGCUCCAAUAGCGUAUAUUAAAGUUGUUGCAGUUAAAAAGCUCGUAGUUGAAUUUCGGGGUUAGCAGGUCGGUCGUGCCAUCGGUAUGAACUGGUCUCGCUGAUCCCUCCCUCUUGACGAACUGUGAUGCCAUUAAUUUGGUGUCGCAGGGAAUCAGGACUGUUACUUUGAAAAAUUAGAGUGUUUAAAGCAGGCUCACGCUUGAAUACAUUAGCAUGGAAUAAUGAAAUAGGACGUUUGAUCCUAUUUUGUUGGUUUCUAGGAUUGACGUAAUGAUUAAUAGGGAUAGUUGGGGGCAUUAGUAUUCAAUUGUCAGAGGUGAAAUUCUUGGAUUUAUUGAAGACUAACUACUGCGAAAGCAUUUGCCAAGGAUGUUUUCAUUAAUCAAGAACGAAAGUUAGGGGAUCGAAGACGAUCAGAUACCGUCGUAGUCUUAACCAUAAACUAUGCCGACUAGGGAUCGGAUGAUGUUAAUUUUUAAUGACUCU